rnacentral:lncRNA from 1 species
UAAUUUUCGAAAAUGAGCACCGCUAUUGUUCACUUUCACGUUAUUCGUGAACGAUUCAGAAUGCAGACCGAUAAUAGUCCACUGAAAUGGGGCCAGACACCCUAAAUUGGGGGUAGGGAGGGGGAAAUUGAUCUAAGGGUAAAAAGCUAAUAAAACUUACAAAGAUUAUUCCUGGCAUAAGAAGAAGAA